rnacentral:rRNA from 1 species
AUGGGCGCAGCCUGAUGGAGCACACCGCGUGAGUGAAGAAGGGUUUCGGCUCGUAAAGCUCUGUUGUUAAAGAAGAACACGUAUGAGAGUAACUGUUCAUACGUUGACGGUAUUUAACCAGAAAGUCACGGCUAACUACGUGCCAGCAGCCGCGUAUUGG